UCUUAUUCAAUCCAUAGGUAGGUAUGGUGGACUCUCAUGGCAAAACUGGGUUUGAGGUUUAUGGAUGCACAACUAGUAUCUCUACUUGGAGCGGGAGUUUUGGCUAAUAUGAGGUGGAAGCAAUCGUCACAUGCUACGGGAUAUCUAAUCAUAUAACAUUGUUUGUAACCAAGCAAACACAAUUCAUUAUGUUGUCUUCCUUGUCCAAGACCUACUCCUAGGCAUGUAAUAGUUUGGUCAGUGUUCACAAUUGUAAAAAGUGUCUAAGAUGAUAUAUUUAUAUGUGAACCUCUCUUUUCUUAUUACUUCUUAUUAAUUGCAACAAUUACUGAGGUCUAUGUUGUUUUGUUCUCAACAAGUUUCAAUCAUCAUACGUGUCAUAAGUGAAGUUAUCACUUUCCAUAAGAUCAUCUCAUGAUUUUUCAUGCUAUCGUUCUUUUCAUACUUUUGAUUAUGGCACAAAGCAAAGCCCUUGACUAAGAAACUCUUUUUUAUAUAGCUCGUAAGCUGGAAUACAUCGGGAGAGAGACAAAAGCAAAAGAGUCAAACUAAAAACUAAAG
rnacentral:lncRNA from 1 species